UCUUCUAAAUUAAUAAAUUGUUACAUUUAUGCUGAACAGUUCAUGUCUUGUCAGUUGCAUGUGCGGAGUUGUGUGUGUUCUGGCCAAGUUGAAGUCUGGAAGAGCGUGUUCUUACAGUUUUGUACAAGAAUAAUGACCCCCACUUGGAUUUUCUGCAUUUUCUUGGCUUUUUCAGUGCAGGUUAAAGCCGCUUCACAGGGUAAAACUUGUUUCUUAAAUCUGCAGUUUCAGUCACAAUGGAUUUCCGAAAAUGCAUGACCAUUUCCCUGUUUUAUCUCUGACAAAAGGGCGCAUCUGUGUGACAGAUUACUGGCAUACCAUCAGCUGCUCUUUAAAACUACCAAUCACAUCCGCUAGAAACAUAUCAUACUGGCUGGAGGCUCAUUCGAUCAUCGGUAACCAGUAAGCAUGCUCCAGUUAUUCAUUGUCUCUAAGUAAUUUGUUCAUUUUAUUUUUUUUAUGUAAAUGGAAGUGUGCACUGAAAGAUCUUCUCAAACAUGGAUUUUCACACACAGGGAUUAUAGCUGCCAACUUCAGCGAGUACAUGAAGAUCACAUCUGCAAUUUCACAGUAGAUGUAGGCUUCAAGAGUUUUGAUAAAUAUACUAUGACACUUCACUAUUUGGAAAAUGGAACUGGGAAUUCAUCUCUGUUAGAUGCUUCUUUUAAGCCAGCAAAGAAUAUUAAACCAAAAACCCCAUUUAAUCUGACGUUACAAUAUGCAAAUGGGACGUAUCAUUUCUUUUGGAAGAGUGGAUAUGAAACACAUACCUACCGAACUGCUCUAAUCUUCAUGUAUGAAUUCAAGUACUACAAAGAUGGAGAUCCCACAAGUGUAAGACUGAUUAUAGUGAUGAUUCAAUUAUGAAUGUCCGCCAUUCAUAGGACAUGUUCUCUGUGAACAUCCUCUGUUUCACCACAUUAAAGAAACAUAUGUGACACCAUCUAUCUGUGUUUUCCUGUUGUGACAAUUGGAUAAAAGCGUCUUCUAAAUGACUAAAUGUANGAACGUGGAGCGACUGGAGCAGCACUGUGAAAUGGAAAACAGCAUACAGAGGUGAAUACUGUGGUAGCUACUGCUCUAUAUUUACACACAUUUCAAAUAUAUCUCUUAACGUAAAAUCAAAGUUGAUCCAUCCAUGUUUUCUCUUAUUCUUUAAGUCUCUGAUUUUUGUACAAGAUGAACCCAGGGAAGUCAGCAAGAUUGCUAUUGGAAUGUUUGCAAUGGUUGGACUUUUAAUUCUGUUUGUAUCCAUUCCUGCUGCCAGGUAACUGUUUAUCAUAUUCAGCUAUUGCACCUCCAAUGAUUACAAACCCGAAUCCAAAAAAGUUGGAACACUGUACAAAUUGUGAGUAAAAAAGGAAUUGAAUAAUUUACAAAUCUCAUAAACUUAUAUUUUAUUCAAAAUUGAAUAUAGAUAACAUAUUAAAUGUUGAAAGAGAGACAUUUUGAAAUGUCAUGCCAAAUAUUAGCUCAUUUUGGAUUUCAUGAGAGCUACACAUUCCAAAAAAGUUGGGACAGGUAGCAAUAAGAGGCCGGAAAAGUUAAAUGUACAUAUAAGGAACAGCUGGGGGACCAAUUUGCGACUUAUUAGGUCAAUUGGCAACAUAAAAGAGCCUUUCAGAGUGGCAGUGUCUCUCAGAAAUCAAGAUGGGCAGAGGAUCACCAAUUCCCCCAAUGCUGUGGCGAAAAAUAGUGGAGCAAUAUCAGAAAGGAGUUUCUCAGAGGAAAAAUUGCAAAGAGUUUGAAGUUAUCAUCAUCUACAGUGCAUAAUAUCAUCCAAAGAUUCAGAGAAUCUGGAACAAUCUCUGUGCAUAAGGGUCAAGGCCGGAAAACCAUACUGGAUGCCCGUGAUCUUCAGGCCCUUAGACAGCACUGCAUCA
ensembl:lncRNA